AAGACGUUCAAGGGAGAAAUGUUCUGACAAAUUUCUGGUCAUGGAAAAGGUCAAGUGUUUCCAAAGUCUGACAAAAAUCAGCGUUGAACCACAAUGUGGAGCAUAUCCUACAGCACAUAUAGAGCCUACACCAUCAGUUGAAGUUUCUUCGCAAUAGUGUCAACCUUUGGAGCCGUGCUUGACAUGAUAACAGACAGGUCAUUCUCUCUUUACUCUAUGUAUGCAUGCAAGCCAAAGGAAUGUGCUGAUUAUUGCUGUUUUAACUUCUUUAUAUUGUUUCACAAGUGUACAAGUAUGAUAUUUCUCCUUUCCAGCGGUUCAUCAGUUGUUAUAAUUUUUAACUUCUUGGAUUGAGAGUUGUGUAUGAGUUAUUUUGGAUUGAAAGUUGUCCAUGGGUUUGUUUCUUUAUUUGAACUGUUUUGUUGUUUUGGA